rnacentral:lncRNA from 1 species
GAGUUUCGAGCAUGGACAUUGAAGUUGGUAAUGCCCCUUCUCUGACGCACAGUGUUUCCUCCAUAGGCAACCUGGAUGACUUUUAGAUUGAGGCUGUAGUAAGUUGGUCUUUUGUUGUACUACUCGGCAACCUAUAAUUUUGGAUGGUGAUUACAGGUUAGCCUAGAGUUGAGUACUUCUCCUAUGUUAAGAGACUGGUAAUGAAAUGAUCUUGGUGAAAUCAGUUUCUGUUUCCCACCUCGCUCUUGACUCCACUUCUG